AAGGCAUGGUGAGGACACUUUCUAAGCAUAUCCUUAAAUCUCUCUGAACUCUCAUAAAUAAAUUCUCCUUCAAACUAAGUAAAAGAAAUAAUAUCAUUUCUAAGUUU